rnacentral:rRNA from 1 species
AACACAUGCAAGUCGAGGGGUAUAGUCUUUCGGGAUUAGAGACCGGCGCACGGGUGCGUAACGCGUAUGCAAUCUGCCUUACACUAAGGGAUAGCCCAGAGAAAUUUGGAUUAAUACCUUAUAGUAUAUGAUGGGGACAUCCCCGACAUAUUAAAGUUCCCAACGGGUGUAAGAUGAGCAUGCGUCCCAUUAGCUAGUUGGUGUGGUAACGGCACACCAAGGCAAUGAUGGGUAGGGGUCCUGAGAGGGAGAUCCCCCACACUGGUACUGAGACACGGACCAGACUCCUACGGGAGGCAGCAGUGAGGAAUAUUGGUCAAUGGGCGCAAGCCUGAACCAGCCAUGCCGCGUGCAGGAUGACGCAUCUAUGGUGUGUAAACUGCUUUUGUACGGGAAGAAACCCUGCCUCGUGAGGCAGAUUGACGGUACCGUAAGAAUAAGGAUCGGCUAACUCCGUGCCAGCAGCCGCGGUAAUACGGAGGAUCCAAGCGUUAUCCGGAAUCAUUGGGUUUUAA